UGUUUGAAUGUCCUUUCCCUCACAUGGGCCAGUAUAAAACAAUAUGUCCAAUUUGGGAAUAGUAAACAAAAAAGUUGCUAUUUUGUUCUCCUUCCAACCUAAUACUUCCGAAUAACAAAAAAUCUUAUUUAUAUGGGCUUUUUGGUCACAAACACUUCUAUAUUUUUCUAUUUAUUCCUUAUGUUAACCAAAUGAGCAGAGGGAAGGAUAUGUAUCUGUCUUUCCUUUCGCCUUCUUUCUGUCUUACCAUUUCCUUUGUAUCUAAUUCCUCCGCAACUAACCUUCAGAUCAAGAAAGAAUGGCGGCAAUUUACUUUCUAGACUCAGAUACUCUAGCUGCUGAUACUCCUGGCCUUUUAGUAAAAGUGUAAUUUCAAGGAUGGUUAAUGUGAAUGUGAUUUUUUAAUGCUGGCUAUUUUAUUAAGGGAGGAAGAUUUACAAUUAUGGAAAUAAUGUUUUUAGGAUGUAGAACAUAAGAAGAAUGGUUGAGUUGAUGUCAUUAAGCAUCUGCCAAGAUGAGAAAGACGAAGACAAUAAGGAAGAGAAUGAUGCAUGAAGAGAAAGAAGGGAGAGAGAGACUUGGGAGGCAUGGAUGCCCACGAAUGCAAAUCAACAAUGAAUUUCUCUUUUGUCAAAGUGUAGGAGAAUAACUCAUAUGCUGUCAUUUUACAAAUACUCCUGGGAAUUUCUUUGUUACGUAACUGUUAGCACUUCCAAUUAGGCAAUGAGACUCAACUGUGAAGCACUUGUAGAAAAACCUGAAGGACUUAAAGAUCAGAAAGAGUGCUUAUCUAUAAUGACAUACCAAGCCAAGAUAUAUAAUGACUUAAAUUGGCUGAAUUAAGGCUUAUGAGAAAAGUAGUAGCUAAAGGUCUUCUUCAUUAGCUGCACUGAAACAAAGAGCAAUCUUGUUGCAGUAAGAAAGGAUGAAUAUGCUAGAUACUGCUACAAUGAGAGAAAAGCCGAAAACAUGGAUCAAGAUUUUGAAGUUUCAUGAUACAGAAAAUCAAAAGGAGACUUCUGUAUCUGAUUUGAAGUAUAUGUGAAGUAUCAUUAGCUUAUGUUUUUUAUCCAUGAAAUUAAACUCCCAAAUGCUUCCCUCUACCAUCAGGUUUAGACAGUAAUGUGCUAAUCUGGAAUACUAGGGUCUGUAAGAAACAUUGCCGGUCAUGCAGACUUUGCACAACUCAGAAACUCGGUUGCCAAUGGAAUAACCUGUGUGAUUUUAAAGGACCUUAACUUUCUCAUCUUCAUGCAGUUUUAGAUAUCAUUUGUUGGACUUACUGCCAACCGCUUCUUGGUAGUGCAUUUAUAAAUGGGAUUUCUGUACUAUUCUUAAUUCUGUAAUUCAUUGGCUUGUGGUAUGUUUCCACUUUUGCUUCAUAUAACUCAUUUAUGUUUAUGUUCAUCAACAAUGGGUUGUGUUCUGCUAUGCUGGUCGAUGAUAUAAAUUUCUAUUUUGCAAUUAUGUCC
rnacentral:lncRNA from 1 species